rnacentral:rRNA from 1 species
CUGUGAGCUCGAUGAGUAGGGCGGGACACGUGGUAUCCUGUCUGAAUAUGGGGGGACCAUCCUCCAAGGCUAAAUACUCCUGACUGACCGAUAGUGAACCAGUACCGUGAGGGAAAGGCGAAAAGAACCCCGGCGAGGGGAGUGAAAAAGAACCUGAAACCGUGUACGUACAAGCAGUGGGAGCACAGAGCAAUCUGUGUGACUGCGUACCUUUUGUAUAAUGGGUCAGCGACUUAUAUUCUGUAGCAAGGUUAACCGAAUAGGGGAGCCGAAGGGAAACCGAGUCUUAACUGGGCGUUAAGUUGCAGGGUAUAGACCCGAAACCCGGUGAUCUAGCCAUGGGCAGGUUGAAGGUUGGGUAACACUAACUGGAGGACCGAACCGACUAAUGUUGAAAAAUUAGCGGAUGACUUGUGGCUGGGGGUGAAAGGCCAAUCAAACCGGGAGAUAGCUGGUUCUCCCCGAAAGCUAUUUAGGUAGCGCCUCGUGAAUUCAUCUCCGGGGGUAGAGCACUGUUUCGGCAAGGGGGUCAUCCCGACUUACCAACCCGAUGCAAACUACGAAUACCGGAGAAUGUUAUCACGGGAGACACACGGCGGGUGCUAACGUCCGUCGUGAAGAGGGAAACAACCCAGACCGCCAGCUAAGGUCCCAAAGUCAUGGUUAAGUGGGAAACGAUGUGGGAAGGCCCAGACAGCCAGGAUGUUGGCUUAGAAGCAGCCAUCAUUUAAAGAAAGCGUAAUAGCUCACUGGUCGAGUCGGCCUGCGCGGAAGAUGUAACGGGGCUAAACCAUGCACCGAAGCUGCGGCAGCGACGCUUAUGCGUUGUUGGGUAGGGGAGCGUUCUGUAAGCCUGCGAAGGUGUGCUGUGAGGCAUGCUGGAGGUAUCAGAAGUGCGAAUGCUGACAUAAGUAACGAUAAAGCGGGUGAAAAGCCCGCUCGCCGGAAGACCAAGGGUUCCUGUCCAACGUUAAUCGGGGCAGGGUGAGUCGACCCCUAAGGCGAGGCCGAAAGGCGUAGUCGAUGGGAAACAGGUUAAUAUUCCUGUACUUGGUGUUACUGCGAAGGGGGGACGGAGAAGGCUAUGUUGGCCGGGCGACGGUUGUCCCGGUUUAAGCGUGUAGGCUGGUUUUCCAGGCAAAUCCGGAAAAUCAAGGCUGAGGCGUGAUGACGAGGCACUACGGUGCUGAAGCAACAAAUGCCCUGCUUCCAGGAAAAGCCUCUAAGCAUCAGGUAACAUCAAAUCGUACCCCAAACCGACACAGGUGGUCAGGUAGAGAAUACCAAGGCGCUUGAGAGAACUCGGGUGAAGGAACUAGGCAAAAUAGUGCCGUAACUUCGGGAGAAGGCACGCUGAUAUGUAGGUGAAGUCCUUCGCUCAUGGAGCUGAAAUCAGUCGAAGAUACCAGCUGGCUGCAACUGUUUAUUAAAAACACAGCACUGUGCAAACACGAAAGUGGACGUAUACGGUGUGACGCCUGCCCGGUGCCGGAAGGUUAAUUGAUGGGGUCAGCGCAAGCGAAGCUCUUGAUCGAAGCCCCGGUAAACGGCGGCCGUAACUAUAACGGUCCUAAGGUAGCGAAAUUCCUUGUCGGGUAAGUUCCGACCUGCACGAAUGGCGUAAUGAUGGCCAGGCUGUCUCCACCCGAGACUCAGUGAAAUUGAACUCGCUGUGAAGAUGCAGUGUACCCGCGGCAAGACGGAAAGACCCCGUGAACCUUUACUAUAGCUUGACACUGAACAUUGAGCCUUGAUGUGUAGGAUAGGUGGGAGGCUUUGAAGUGUGGACGCCAGUCUGCAUGGAGCCGACCUUGAAAUACCACCCUUUAAUGUUUGAUGUUCUAACGUUGACCCGUAAUCCGGGUUGCGGACAGUGUCUGGUGGGUAGUUUGACUGGGGCGGUCUCCUCCUAAAGAGUAACGGAGGAGCACGAAGGUUGGCUAAUCCUGGUCGGACAUCAGGAGGUUAGUGCAAUGGCAUAAGCCAGCUUGACUGCGAGCGUGACGGCGCGAGCAGGUGCGAAAGCAGGUCAUAGUGAUCCGGUGGUUCUGAAUGGAAGGGCCAUCGCUCAACGGAUAAAAGGUACUCCGGGGAUAACAGGCUGAUACCGCCCAAGAGUUCAUAUCGACGGCGGUGUUUGGCACCUCGAUGUCGGCUCAUCACAUCCUGGGGCUGAAGUAGGUCCCAAGGGUAUGGCUGUUCGCCAUUUAAAGUGGUACGCGAGCUGGGUUUAGAACGUCGUGAGACAGUUCGGUCCCUAUCUGCCGUGGGCGCUGGAGAACUGAGGGGGGCUGCUCCUAGUACGAGAGGACCGGAGUGGACGCAUCACUGGUGUUCGGGUUGUCAUGCCAAUGGCACUGCCCGGUAGCUAAAUGCGGAAGAGAUAAGUGCUGAAAGCAUCUAAGCACGAAACUUGCCCCGAGAUGAGUUCUCCCUGACUCCUUGAGAGUCCUGAAGGAACGUUGAAGACGACGACGUUGAUAGGCCGGGUGUGUAAGCGCAGCGAUGCGUUGAGCUAACCGGUACUAAUGAACCGUGAGGCUUAACCUU